GAUGAACGCUAGCUACAGGCUUAACACAUGCAAGUCGAGGGGAAACGAUAUUGGAAGCUUGCUUCUGAUAGGCGUCGACCGGCGCACGGGUGAGUAACGCGUAUCCAACCUGCCCAUCACUUGGGGAUAACCUUGCGAAAGUAAGACUAAUACCCAAUGACGUCUCUAGAAGACAUCUGAAAGAGAUUAAAGAUUUAUCGGUGAUGGAUGGGGAUGCGUCUGAUUAGCUUGUUGGCGGGGUAACGGCCCACCAAGGCGACGAUCAGUAGGGGGUUCUGAGAGGAAGGUCCCCCCACAUUGGAACUGAGACACGGUCCAAACUCCUACGGGAGGCAGCAGUGAGGAAUAUUGGUCAAUGGGCGAGAGCCUGAACCAGCCAAGUAGCGUGCAGGAUGACGGCCCUAUGGGUUGUAAACUGCUUUUAUAAGGGAAUAAAGUGGGAGUCGUGACUCUUUUUGCAUGUACCUUAUGAAUAAGGACCGGCU
rnacentral:rRNA from 1 species